ACAGUUUAACUGUUUCAAUAAAGAGAAGGCCAAAUAAUAUCUGAACUUCAGAAUUCUCCCCUGAGUCUCUGAAUCAGUUAAGAAAACAGAGGACUCUGUGGCUUUCUGCCUCAAGUUUCAAGAUUCCUUUUCAGGGUUGAAUUGUGGGUGUGCCCAGUAGAAUCAAAACCCUUGGUUCAACCAGAAAGAGAGUGAGAGCGAGAGCAAGACAGAGGGAGAAGGAGAGAGAGAAGAAGAGAAAGAGAGGAAGAGAGGAAGAACCUGUGAAAUUGGGUGGGUUCAUGAAGAUCUGUGAACAAAUAAAAGAAUUAAGCCUAGAAGGUGAAGGUGAAGCCCCUGUGCCUGAGAGUAAAGUCCUUAAGAAGACACAGUGAAAAAAAAAGAAGCAUCUAUUUUCAAGCCAGUAAGGGAGAUCUCACCAGGAAUCAACCAUGCUCAUACCUUGAUCUUGGACUUUUAGCCUCCAGAUAUAUACUGAAGAGAAAGAAAAUGAAACACCAGUAUAAGCCUUUACAUGAAUGUUCAUUUAUCAUAAGCCCAAUUUGGAAAUAGCAUGAAUUUCUAUUAACAGAUGAAUGAAUAAGCAAUGGAAUACUACUCAACAAUAUAGAGGAAUGAAUCACCAGCACAAUCAAAAAAGGAUGAAUAUUAAAAAUAAUUUUGCUGAAUGAAAAAUAUAAACAAUGUGGACUGUAUAAUUGAAUUAUAUGAACUUCUUGAGAUUUAAACUUAUCUAUACUAACAAAAAGCACCUAGUGGUUGCCCCAGGAUGGGUGGGAGAAAUUAUGAAGGACACAAAGAAACAUUUGGGAGUGAUGAAUAUGUUUAUUAUCUUGAUUAAGAUGAUGGUUUUGUGGCUGUACACAUGUGUCAAAAGUUAUGCAAUGUCACAUUUUACACAUGUGCAAUUUAUUGAAUAUAUUAUAUCUUAAUAAAGCCAUUAAAAUGGUAUGUGUUAAACAAAAAAUGAAGUAAUAUGUAAUAAAAACAUAAAACAAAAUGUGAAGAUAAUAUUUAAAGCAUUUCAUAUUGGGGGAGGAGUUUCAAGAUAUAAUUUACAUUUAAAUUUGUUAUAUAAUUACAAGAGUAAAUAUUAAAGGUGAAAAGCAGCAUAUUUAACUCUCAAAUCAAAAUAAAGAAAAAUAGAAUUUAAGAAAUCCAUCUUAAGAAAAAUAGGAAAGAAGGAAAAAACAGAAAAAUAUUGAUAUCCAAAAAUCUCAAAAUAUAAGGAAAAAAUUAGUUUGAAUAUAUACGCAAUGAAGUUACUAUAACUUAAUGGGUUAAAUGACAGUUACUAUAACUAAAUGGCUUAUUGGAAUAAAAGUGACGAAAACAAAAGCUAGGUCCUUGCAGUUUACAAGAAAUGUUUAAGACAUAAAUAUGCCAAAAAAAUGAAAGCAAAGAAUGGAAAAUAAUAUACUAGGCAAAUAAUAACAAAAACAAAGUUGAUGUGGCAAUGUUAAUACCAGACACCAUUGAUUAGGGGAAAACUCAUUGAUAAGUAUUUUUAAUGUUUUAAAUAUAAUUCUUUUUAUUAGCACAUUGUAUUUAUACAUAAUACUGGAGUUCAUUUUGACAUUCAUGGAAUAUAAUUUGCUCCAUUUCAGUUCCCAAUACUUCCCUUUCCCUCUCUUCCUCCCUCCCUCUAUUCCCUUUCC